GCUCUGUCACCCAGGCUGGAGUGCAGUGACAUGAUCUUGGCUCACUGCAACCUCCGCCUCCUGAGUAGCUGGGAUUACAGGCGCCCACCAUCAUGCCUGGCUAAUUUUUUUUUGUAUUUUUAGUAGAGACGGGGUUUCACCAUGUUGGCCAGGCUGGUCUCAAAUUCCUGACCUCAAGUGAUCUGCCCACAUCGGCCUCCCAAAGUGCUGGGAUUACAGGCGUGAGCCACCGUGCCUGGCCAUAAACAGUUUUGGAAGUUUACACAACUAUUCUUGAUAAACAUAAAGCUCAACUGGUGGACAUCAAAGUGCCAUGCAUGUCAGAAAUUAGCCUACUGGCUGUGGGCAUGUCUUUUUUUUUUUGGAGGAGAUGGACAGUGUCAGUCUCCUCCAAAAAAUAAGUUGGUGAUGGGUAGGUAAUUUAAAAGCUUCUAUUGUAAAAUCUAGUCUCUUUGACACUGCCCUGUCCACUGCAGCCAUAUCUCCCAAUACUCAAGAAUCCUGAGAACAUGAGUGGUCAUGACACUUACAUCAUUCACCAAUAAAACCCUCUAUCCUUCCUCCUCAAAAUCAGGAUCGCUCUCCUAUCCUCCCCAUUGACCCCCACCCCUGACAAGCUUCACCUCCACUCUGUGCCCUACCAUUAUCCUCUAGAGCCUCAACUUCUCUUUGAAGAAGAAGAUCCUUCUAACAUUUUGGCAACAUAUUCCCUCCACUUAAUCAACCUCUAAUUCUAAUUCCCAUUUUCAGUUUCAGUCACCGACCAGUGCAAUCACAGCUUAGACUUCAUUUGUCACUUAAAACUCACCUACAGUAUAUUACCCAUUUUGUGGUUUAUCCACUCAGCCCAUGAGCCACUCUCCCCUUCCUGAAGGUUAUGACUGGAGAGAGGAGAGAGAGAGAACAAUUGAGUUUCUGAGGAUUUUCCAGGUCCUGUGAAAUCCAGCUCAAUUCUCUUCCUUGGGUUCUGUGAGAUACCCAAGCGGCUUUCCAAUAAAUCUCCCUUUAUUGCUUAAGUUAGCUUGAAGUAGGUUUCUAGAACAAUUAACUCUACCAUAUAUAAGAAAAAAAAAUUUCUGUCAGAAGUGAAUUGCGGUGAGUCUCGAGAGUUGAAGUAUAAACAUGAACUUGUGUUCCUUUUCUAAUAACCCUUCCUCCUGAGUAGUGGUUUGCUUAACAGUUUCGUGGCCAAGUCCAUAAUUUUCCAAUCAUUCUUAAUAGUAUACUCUUAUUUCAAUAUUCAAGAUUGCUUCUUUUAUAGCUUCCAUAUCAAAGUCCAUUCUAGGCUCAUCUCCUUGCCUCCAGCCUCCUUUCCUAAACUAUGUUCCUCUCCACCUGUCCUAACUCAAGUUAAACCUAUUUUUGAACCUAGAGGCUUACAGUAAAGGGGAGGGCUUAUCUUUUUAUCUUUUUUUUUUUAAAUGAACUUUCCCUUUAUUUUCUCUCUUUGAGUCUCAUAUUCUCAUACAUCUCCUAUGAAGGAAGCAAAGAGAGAAUGAAGAAACCACUUAAGUAGUCAAAGGUAUCUCUGCCGUCUGCUACUGGCUACCUGUGUGAACAUUAUAUGGUUCUUAUAAGGAAUGUUUGGUUUUCUUGGAGCAAUGUUCAGCUUCAUGACUAUCUUUGCUACCAAAAGAACUCCUUCUAGAAUGGAAUCCAUAUUUAAUCGGGACACUAUCCCAAUGUCAUUUUCAGGUUGGAUGUUCCAUUGUUUAGCCUGGAAAAACUGCAGUCUGAUGGUUUCUGCCCUUCUGCUAGUCUCCACGACCCUUCAGGUGGAGCCACAGGAAUCCCUGACACACUCUUGUUUACCCUUUAAGGGCUGCAGAGAAGUGAAAUUAGUUGAAAAUGGCCUCCUUCUUCUUCUAAGGCACAAUACAUUAUGAUUAUUUCAGGGUUGGCACUCUUGACCAGUGUCUUAUUAAAAAAUGCUCAGUGAAAUUUCUUCAUUCAAACAGUAGCAAACAUGAGUUGCUAUAUUAAAAUAUGCUCCCAAAUUCAGAAAAUACAUGCCAAAUAGCCCCUUCUUCUCCAUAAUGGAGGAAUAAGACUGAAUGUGCAAUGCUCUGUACUGCUAAGAUCUCAGAACUCUUCCAUAAUAACUUUAUUUCAGUAUUCUACACCUCAAUGAUGACACUAGGAGAUUCAUAUUCUGCCAAUUUUCCCAUAUCAGUCAAGGACUCAAUAUAAAACAGUUGGCACACUUAAAUUAGAAUAAUUAGAGGAGGGUUUAUUUGCAAAGGAACAACUUAUGGUGGAUAGGGUGUGACGGAACCAAAAAGGGAUAGUGCAGGAGCCUAAGGCUGGCAGCACUGUAGCUGGCGCCAUCCUUGGGCCCAAAGGAAAGAGGAAAGAGAGCAGUAACUAGUCGAAGGGUAUGAAAGCUCAUAAUAUUAUCCUUCCAGGGAAGAAAGAAGAGUGCAUAAAGAUAGAAAAUAGAUUUAAAGAGACCAAGUAGCUGUGUUGAGGAAACGCAAAGAAAUUCAGAAUCCUAUCAGAUACAUUUAACAAAGGGAUUGAAAUAAUUUAAAAGAAUCAAGCAGAAAUUCUGAGGGUGAAAAAUGUAACUGAUAUACUGAAGAGUGCAUCAGAGUCUCUUAACAGAAGAAUAGACUAAGCAGAAGAAAGAAUUAUCUUGAAGACAGGCUAUUUGAAAACAGUCAAAUAAAAAAAUAAAAAAAUGAAAAUACACAAUCAGAAGGGACAAAAGAAAAAAUAAUAAAAAAGAAUGAAGCACAUCUAUGAGAUCUAGAAAAUAGCCCCAAAGGGGCAAAUCUAAGAGUUAUUGGCCUUAAAGAGGAGGUAGAGAAAGAGAUAGGAGUAAAAAGUUUAAAGGGAUAAUAACAGUAAACUUCCCAAACCUAGAGAAAGAUAUCAAAAUCCUAAUACAAGAAGGUUAUAGAACACCAAGCAGAUUUAACCCAAAGAAAACUACCUCAAGGCUUUUAAUAAUCAAACUACCAAGGGUCAAGCAUAAAGAAACGAUUCCAACAGCAGCAAGAGAAAAGAAAUGAAUAACAUAAAAUGGAGCUCCAAUAGGUCUCACAGCAGACUUUUCAAUGGAAACCUUACAGGCCAGGAGAGAGCGGCAUGACAUAUUUAAAGUGCUGAAGGAAAAGAAAACAUUUACUCUAGGAUAAUAUAUAUCGUGAAAAUAUCCUUCAAAUGUGAAGAAGAAAUAAAGACUUCCCCAGACAGACAAAAGCUGAAUGAUUUCAUCAACACAAGACCUGUUCUACAAGAAAUGCUAACGAGUUCUUCAAUUUGAAAGAAAAGGACAUUAAUGAGCAAUAAGAAAUCAUCUGAAGGUCCAAAACUCAUUGGUAAUAGUAAGUACACAGAAAAACACAGAAUAUUAAAACACUGUAACCAUGAUUGUAAACUACUCUUUUUUUUUUCCAGGUUCAAGCGAUUCUUCUGCCUCAGCCUCCCAGUUAGCUGGGACUACAGCACUGCUGGGUUAGGAACUCCCAGACUGAGCUGGUCUCAGCAAGUGGCGUCCAUUUGUGGGGGCUCAAAUCCAGGUCGAAGGGUCACCGGAGCAACAGUUGGAAUGGAAAACUAGCUGGAGGACACAGGAGUACUCUUAAAGCAAUCCCUGUGAUACAGCAUUACCUGAAAAGAAGAUAACCUGGGGUAGAGGUUAUGCUUGUUUCUCCAGGCCAAAAUCAACAGCUGAUUUGGAUACCAUCAAGACACCUGAAACCUUAUCAUGAGCCAGAUUCCAAGAGGAUCGCGAGGACCCCCCAGUUGCAGCCAUGUCAAGACUGAUGCUGAGGAGGACCCCAACUGUCACGAGCAACACCCGUCAAACACAGCCACCCACCUGGGGACAGAUCAAGAAGCUGUCACAGAUGGCGGAAGAAAACCUGAGGAAAGCAGGACAACCAGUCACAAUGAAUAAUUUAAUGGUAGCUAUGAUAGCGGUUAUCACCACUGCCAUGAGUAUUCCUUCAAUAAGGACUGACACAGAGAACAGUUAUACUUACUGGGCAUAUUUAUCAAUCUUGGCUGGCAAUAAUGCCUGGAUGCAAUCACUCUGACACAGUUACACAUGCUUUCUGAUCUCAGUAUUUAACAUAAUAAAUCUGCUCAUAUAUUUGAGGUAUACCAUCCUCAAAAACCUUUUUGUAAACAGGAUUGGACCCAGUUAGAAAAAAAUGAACGUACUUGUUUAGGAAGAUUGCUUUGCAGAACAGACAGAGGUGCUGCACAAUGAUUCCUAUGGAAUCAUUAUUAAUUGGUACCCUAAGGGGAUGUUUAGCUUGAAUUGCACCUCUCAGUCUGUGUGCCACGGCCACACUAUGUUCAGAUGAUCUGAACAAAACGGUCAGAUGGUAGAAAUGAUAAGAAGUAUGGCAAAAGUUCCUAUUAUCUGGAACCAUGGUGGUAUAGUGGCACCUCAACCUCAAAUGAUAUGGCCUGCUCUAGGAGCUUAACAUAAGGAUUUGUGGAAACUAUUAGAUGUUCUUAAUAAGAUCAAAAUUUGGGAAAGAAUAAAAAAGCAUCUAGAAGGACACUCUACAAACUUGUUUUUGGAUAUGGCAAAAUUAAAAGAACAAAUAUUUAAAGCAUCCCAGGCACACCUGACCUUAAUGCCAGGAACUGGAGUGCUUAAAGGAGCUGCAGACAGAUUAGCAGCUAGUAACCCAUUAGAAUGGAUAAAAACACUUGGAAGCUCUGUAUUUCAAUGAUGAUUGUGCUUUUAAUCUAUGUUGUUUGUCUUUGUAUAGUCUGCAGAUGUGGAUCCUGACUCCUGUGAGAAGUAGCUCACCGUGGCAAAGCUGCCUUUGCUUUUAUCUCUUUGCAAAUCAAAGAAAGGAGACAUGUUGGGAGCAGGCCCCCCAAAAUCUGGCCAUAAACUGUCCCCAAAACUGGCCAUAAACAAAAUCUCUGCAGCACUGUAACAUGUUCAUAAUGGCCCCAACGCCCAAGCUGGAAGGUUGUGGGUUUAUGGGAAUGAGGGCAAGGAACACCUGGCCCGCCCAGGAUGGAAAACUGCUUAAAGGCGUUCUUAAGCCACAAACAAUAGCAUGAGUGAUCUGUGCCUUAAGGACAUGCUCCUGCUGCAGUUAACUAGCCUAAUCUAUUCCUUUAAUCCGGCCCAUCCCUUCGUUUUCCAUAAGGGAUACUUUUAGUUAAUUUAACAUCUAUAGAGACAAUGCUAAUGACUGGGUUGCUGUUAAUAAAUACGUGGGUAAAUCUCUGUUCGGGGGCUCUCAGCUCUGAAGGCUGUGAGACCCCUGAUUUCCCACUCCACAUCUCUAUAUUUCUGUGUGUGUGUCUUUAAUUCCUCUAGCGCCACUGGGUUACGGUCUCCCCGACUGAGUUGGUCUUGGC